CAGCCGCCGCGGUAAGACAGAGGAUGCAAGCGUUAUCCGGAAUGAUUGGGCGUAAAGCGUCUGUAGGUGGCUUUUCAAGUCCGCCGUCAAAUCCCAGGGCUCAACCCUGGACAGGCGGCGGAAACUACCAAGCUGGAGUACGGUAGGGGCAGAGGGAAUUUCCGGUGUAGCAGUGAAAUGCGUAGAGAUCGGAAGGAACAUCUGUGGCGAAGGCGACUAUCUGGGCCAACACUGACACUGAGGCACGAAGGCGUGGGGAGCAAACAGGAUUAGAUACCCCGGUAGUCCCUGUCUCUUAUAC
rnacentral:rRNA from 1 species